rnacentral:rRNA from 1 species
UACGAAGGGGGCUAGCGUUGUUCGGAAUUACUGGGCGUAAAGCGCACGCAGGCGGAUUGAUAAGUCAGGGGUGAAAUCCCGGGGCUCAACCUCGGAAUUGCCUUUGAUACUGUCUGUCUUCGAGUUCGGGAGAGGUUGGCGGAAUUCCUAGUGUAGAGGUGAAAUUCGUAGAUAUUAGGAAGAACACCAGUGGCGAAGGCGGCCAACCUGGCCC